UGGGUGAUGAUCGCAGAAUCACAGCUAAAGUGCUGAGCCUUCCAGGAGCUGCGUUUCCGGAGCCCCAUAUGGUCCAAGAAUUGUCAUACUGCAAGCUACUCUGGAUACAUAAAGGGAAAGACACUUGCCGAAGUCCCUCAAGAGCUGGCCAUAUGGGAUCUGUGCUAAAAGGAAAGAAAGGGAAAUGGGUACCCAGAAGACUCGAGGUUGUCUUGAAAGAAGUAGAGUAAGACAAAGGAUUUGAAGUGAGCAGACCUGGGUUCUAGUACUAACACACCAACUUGCUCUGUGACCUUUGGUCAGUCACUUAACCUCUCUGAGCUUCAUGUUCCUGCUCUGCAAAAUGUUAAUAUUUUAAAAAGG